rnacentral:rRNA from 1 species
UAGCCAUGCUAGUUGCACGAGUUCAUACUCGUGGCGAAAAGCUCAGUAACACGUGGCCAAACUACCCUACAGAGAACGAUAACCUCGGGAAACUGAGGCUAAUAGUUCAUACGGGAGUCAUGCUGGAAUGCCGACUCCCCGAAACGCUCAGGCGCUGUAGGAUGUGGCUGCGGCCGAUUAGGUAGACGGUGGGGUAACGGCCCACCGUGCCGAUAAUCGGUACGGGUUGUGAGAGCAAGAGCCCGGAGACGGAAUCUGAGACAAGAUUCCGGGCCCUACGGGGCGCAGCAGGCGCGAAACCUUUACACUGCACGCAAGUGCGAUAAGGGGACCCCAAGUGCGAGGGCAUAUAGUCCUCGCUUUUCACGACUGUAAGGCGGUCGUGGAAUAAGAGCUGGGCAAGACCGGUGCCAGCCGCCGCGGUAAUACCGGCAGCUCAAGUGAUGACCGAUAUUAUUGGGCCUAAAGCGUCCGUAGCCGGCCACGAAGGUUCAUCGGGAAAUCCGCCAGCUCAACUGGCGGGCGUCCGGUGAAAACCACGUGGCUUGGGACCGGAAGGCUCGAGGGGUACGUCCGGGGUAGGAGUGAAAUCCCGUAAUCCUGGACGGACCACCGAUGGCGAAAGCACCUCGAGAAGACGGAUCCGACGGUGAGGGACGAAAGCUAGGGUCUCGAACCGGAUUAGAUACCCGGGUAGUCCUAGCUGUAAACGAUGCUCGCUAGGUGUGACACAGGCUACGAGCCUGUGUUGUGCCGUAGGGAAGCCGAGAAGCGAGCCGCCUGGGAAGUACGUCCGCAAGGAUGAAACUUAAAGGAAUUGGCGGGGGAGCACUACAACCGGAGAGCCUGCGUUUAAUUGACUCACGCCGGACAUCUCAC